rnacentral:rRNA from 1 species
UACAGAGGUCUCAAGCGUUGUUCGGAUUCAUUGGGCGUAAAGGGUGCGUAGGCGGCGCGGUAAGUCGGAUGUGAAAUCUCGGAGCUUAACUCCGAAACUGCAUUCGAUACUGCCGUGCUUGAGGACUGGAGAGGAGACUGGAAUUUACGGUGUAGCGGUGAAAUGCGUAGAUAUCAGGAGGAACACCGGUGGCGAAGGCGGGUCUCUGGGCCGAUACUGACGCUGAGGAGCGAAAGCGUGGGGGAGCGAACAGG